AGUGAACGCUGGCGGCAGGCCUAACACAUGCAAGUCGAGCGGCAGCGCGGGGCAACCUGGCGGCGAGCGGCGGACGGGUGAGGAAUGCGUCGGAAUCUGCCUUUUGUGGGGGAUAACGUAGGGAAACUUACGCUAAUACCGCAUACGACCUACGGGUGAAAGUGGGGGACCGCAAGGCCUCACGCAGAAAGAUGAGCCGACGCCCGAUUAGCUAGUUGGUGAGGUAAAGGCUCACCAAGGCGACGAUCGGUAGCUGGUCUGAGAGGAUGAUCAGCCACACUGGGACUGAGACACGGCCCAGACUCCUACGGGAGGCAGCAGUGGGGAAUAUUGCACAAUGGGCGAAAGCCUGAUGCAGCAACGCCGCGUGAGGGAUGAAGGCCUUCGGGUUGUAAACCUCUUUUAGCAGGGAAGAAGCGAAAGUGACGGUACCUGCAGAAAAAGCACCGGCUAACUACGUG
rnacentral:rRNA from 1 species